rnacentral:rRNA from 1 species
UACGGGGGGGGCAAGCGUUGUUCGGAAUUACUGGGCGUAAAGGGCUCGUAGGUGGCCAACUAAGUCAGACGUGAAAUCCCUCGGCUUAACCGGGGAACUGCGUCUGAUACUGGAUGGCUUGAGAUUGGGAGAGGGAUGCGGAAUUCCAGGUGUAGCGGUGAAAUGCGUAGAUAUCUGGAGGAACACCGGUGGCGAAGGCGGCAUCCUGGACCGGCAUUGACGCUGAGGCGCGAAAGCUAGGGGAGCAAACGGGG